CAGUUCGUACUUGCCGUUGUCCAUCUGCCAUCAGAUCGUUUAUCCUACUAAUCUAGGCCGUCCAAAUCGGUAGUUUCAGUUCCUUCACUUGUCUGCAUCCCCCUUCCCCUAACUCCGCCGCCACUGCCGUCCGCGCUCGCCGUCGCCCCGAACCUAUCGCCCACUGCAUUUUUCCGGCGGAGGUAUGCGAUGAGGCUGCUGCAAGCGGAGGAGCUAUUUCGGAAGGUUCUGGAGGUCGGGUCGAAGAAUAAGGCGGCUCGGCUGCUGGGGCUCGACGUCGGCAGCAAGUACGUCGGGGUGGCCAUCUCCGAUGAGAAGAACAGGGUCGCUAUGCCUCUGAGAUUUGGUAAACUGUGCGAGUCUGUUACACCCGACCUUCAUCCGUUUUCCCUUUGCUCAAUCAGGCUGGGUCAAGCAGGUCAGACUAUAUAUCUGAUAGGGUGUUUUAGUCUAAACCUUUUUUCUCUUAUCCCUUGUGUACUUCUCUGGAGUUUUGUAACAAUUUCCUCUGUUGCUGUCACACAGUUAAGUCUGAGAAGAUUCGAAUAUCUUCCUUUCCUUGUCCCUUGUGUACUUGCCUGGAGUUUUGCAAUAAUUGCCUCUGUUGCUGUCACAAAGUUAAGUCUGAGAAGAUUCAGAUUACAAGCUCAACAAGAUAAUUUGUUGUUUUAUGGAUAUUGGCUAUAUUCCUAAAAUCUACUUAGUUUCUUUAUAGCCAAAUCUAUAUCUUGUGAAAAAAAUGUAACAACUGCAAUUCAGACGAUAGUUUACAUUCAUGUACUUGUUAGAAAAGGACAUGUAUCAUUAUCUGUGGCUAAGAUCCUUAUUGAAUGAAUCUUGCAGUGUUUUGUGUCGGACAAAAACAAACAUCAACUUGAUGGCAGAUGAUUUCAAAACAUUGGUUUCGAUGUAUUCCAUAGCUGGGUUCGUUGUGGGCUAUCCAUUCAAAAUCUAUGGUCAACCUUGUGCAAGUGCAAUCCAAGUAAGUCUUGCUGGGGAACUUUGUAAAACAGGGAAACUUGAUGAUCUGCCCUACGCAUAUUGGGAUGAAAAUUUCACCUCAAAGUGUGUAGAAGCCCUCUUGCAUCCCCUGAAUCUAAAAGACUUGGACGAUGCCAAAACAAUGACAGACAAAUUUGCUGCAGUCUGUAUACUCCAGGGUUAUCUUGACAACAUGAACAGAAAACUGAGAUCCACAGAUAAGUCUGAAGCAUAAAGGUGGCACCUAAGAUUCCAGUUUGAACUAAACCAAAGAGCAAGGGAACCUUUUUUUUGAUAGAACAGGAGGGGAGGGCCCCUACUGAAAAUUUUAUUUAAAAUUUGAAAAGAAAACAAAGUUUAGAACAAACAAGAAGACAAAUUACAGGGGGUUAGGGAGAGUUUGUACUGCCAUUGUUUUCUACUGCCAUUGUUGAAGCCAAGUCGGGAUGGCAGAAUCAAAUCUACCCAAAGCUCUGUGAAUGACAAGGAGCAAUUCAUUUGCAAACUCCUGCUUGCAAUGUUGCACCGUUGGAUCUUUGUUUUGAAAAAGCCAAGCAUUGCGGCACUUCCAAAUGCUCAAAGUCAUGAGAAUAAUAACCUCCAUAGAGAAUGGGACAUUGAGUUGCUGUUUUAGGUUUGCCGCAGCCUCCUCUGGAUUAACAAUUCUAGGUGGAAUCAGACCGAUUGAGUGCCAGCAGGCCUUCGCGAAGUUGCACCUGAGGAAUAGAUGAUAAAAAGUUUCUUCCUUCUGGCAGAUGCAGUUCUCGCAGGUGUAAAACUCAAGAGUCAUGUUCUUCCUCCUAAGCAUAUUCCUUGUGUUGAGCCUAUUUUUUAGCCAUAGCCAAUAAAAGACUUUAUGCUUAGGUUGACAUUUGUUCUUCCAGAGCGAUCUGUAAAUCUGAUGAACUUGAGACUGACCCAUCAAAUGCUUGUAAGUCUGCUUCGUAGAGAAGAUUUCAGAUCCCCAAAUGAGCUUCCAAGUGUCCUUAGCGUUGGUCACUGUGAUUUGUCCCUAGGUCUCGUUUAGUUCAAGAUACUGCUCGUAGGCUUGCAUAGACAGAGGGAGCUGAAAAAUCUCAAGGAGAUGCUCUUUUUGCUUAGCUUCUUUGAUAGAGUUUGGUGUUGCAAGCAAAUGAAAAUAAUUCCGGGUAUUGCUGAGCCGGGAUGCCCUUGUUCCA